rnacentral:rRNA from 1 species
CUCCAAAAGCGUAUAUUAAAGUUGCUGCAGUUAAAAAGCUCGUAGUUGGAUCUGGGUUGUGCGUUCACGCGCCUUUACUUGUCUGUCAGACUCGGUCAAUGCCUUGGCUGAUGUUCAAAUAGGUGUAGUGGGCGUGCUGCCUUUCAGCCGUGUCUGUGUAAACGGGUGCUGACUGGGUUGAUGAGCUUGUCUUGUUAACCUGUUGGCAUGCUUCUAGAUGCCCUUUACCGGGUGUCGGGAGCGGACGGCAUCUUUACUUUGAACAAAUUUGAGUGCUCAAAGCAGGCCUGUGGGCCUGAAAAUUCUUGCAUGGAAUAAUGGAAUAGGACUUCGGUUCUAUUUUGUUGGUUUUCGGAUCCGAAGUAAUGGUUAAGAGGGACAGACGGGGGCAUUUGUAUGGCGGUGUGAGAGGUGAAAUUCUGGGAUCGCCGCCAGACAAACUACAGCGAAAGCAUUUGCCAAGAAUGUUUUCAUUGAUCAGGAGCGAAAGUCAGAGUUUCGAAGACGAUCAGAUACCGUCGUAGUUCUGACCAUAAACGAUGCCAACUGACGAUCCGCGGCAGCACUUAUAUUGGCUCCGCGGGCAGUCCCCGGGAAACCUUUAAGUCUUUGGGCUCCGGGGGAAGUAUGGUUGCAAAGCUGAAACUUAAAGGAAUUGACGGAAGGGCACCACCAGGAGUGGAGCCUGCGGCCUAAUUCGACUCAACACGGGAAAACUCACCCGGCCCGGACACUGUGAGGAUUGACAGAUUGAGAGCUCUUUCUUGAUUCGGUGGUUGGUGGUGCAUGGCCGUUCUUAGUUGGUGGAGCGAUUUGUCUGGUUAAUUCCGAUAACGAACGAGACUUUGACCUACUAAAUAGUACGCUCGUCCUCUGUGCGCGUAUAGACUGCGGCUUGCAUUGCUUGUAAAAGUGAUGUGG